AGGAAGGGGGGACAGGGAGGAGGGGGCAGGGUACCAACCCCUGAGGAAUGCCACUUGUCACUGAUCUGUAUUUGAAACUUUUAGCCAUUGAUUGCAACUCUCUCAGUGUGACCAGCCAACCAAUUCCUUAACCAACAAAUGGUCCAUUCAUCAAAUUCCUGUUUCUUCAAUCUGGAGAUGUUCCGUGGGACAGUAUCAAAUUCUUUGUAUAAUUCCAGAUUUUUGAACAAAGGAGACUAUUUUAUUGUGUGGCUUUAGUUUUCCGUAAUGGAUCUACACUGGGAAAUAAGAGUCUCCCACACUGCCAUCCUCAGUAUCUUUGAGCCCCAGACAGGAAUUUCCAGAACAGAGAAAAGGAGGAAUUCUGUCUUUCAGCACAAACAAAGAGCAGAACCGAAUUUAGAACCUGGAAAUUUGAAGGCUGCCCUGAAGAGAGCUAUUUUUAGUUUAUAAAAAUCCUUGUACCCAGCUAGCUUGAAAAUAAACACCUGCAAGAAGCUCAUUGAGUUCUAUAGGAAAGUAACUAGAAUCCUUUCCUCCCAACACUAUGAGCUCCAUAUGAGUUUAAACUUGUUUUAUACAAUAGUGUAAAAUAUAAAUUGUUCCAGUGUUUAUUUACCUUUGCUUACUUCCCUUAUAGUGUAACCUUAAGUACGUCAGGAAAUGCUUCCACUAAAAGUAAUGUAUUGAA